rnacentral:rRNA from 1 species
CCUACGGGUGGCAGCAGUGGGGAAUAUUGCACAAUGGGGGAAACCCUGAUGCAGCGACGCCGCGUGAGUGAAGAAGUAUUUCGGUAUGUAAAGCUCUAUCAGCAGGGAAGAAAAUGACGGUACCUGACUAAGAAGCCCCGGCUAACUACGUGCCAGCAGCCGCGGUAAUACGUAGGGGGCAAGCGUUAUCCGGAUUUACUGGGUGUAAAGGGAGCGUAGACGGCCAGACAAGUCAGAAGUGAAAGCCCAGGGCUCAACCCUGGGACUGCUUUUGAAACUGCCGGGCUGGAGUGCAGGAGAGGUAAGCGGAAUUCCUAGUGUAGCGGUGAAAUGCGUAGAUAUUGCGCAGAACUCCGAUUGCGAAGGCAGCAUGCCGGCUCCACACUGACGCUGAGGCACGAAAGCGUGGGUAUCGAACAGGAUUAGAUACCCGGGUAGUC